rnacentral:rRNA from 1 species
AGCGAACGCUGGCGGCAGGCCUAACACAUGCAAGUCGAACGGAUCCUUCGGGAUUAGUGGCGGACGGGUGAAUAACACGUGGGAACGUGCCCUUUGGUUCGGAACAACUCAGGGAAACUUGAGCUAAUACCGGAUGUGCCCUUCGGGGGAAAGAUUUAUCGCCAUUGGAGCGGCCCGCGUCUGAUUAGCUAGUUGGUGAGGUAAAGGCUCACCAAGGCGACGAUCAGUAGCUGGUCUGAGAGGAUGAUCAGCCACAUUGGGACUGAGACACGGCCCAAACUCCUACGGGAGGCAGCAGUGGGGAAUCUUGCGCAAUGGGCGAAAGCCUGACGCAGCCAUGCCGCGUGAAUGAUGAAGGUCUUAGGAUUGUAAAAUUCUUUCACCGGGGACGAUAAUAACGGUACCCGGAGAAGAAGCCCCGGCUAACUUCGUGCCAGCCGCCGCAGUAAUAC